rnacentral:lncRNA from 1 species
AUGCUUGUACUGGUUGAGCUUCCAUCGAAUACAAUGAGGGAUCUUUUCCUUAGCCCAUCCACAGUGCUCCCCCUUUUAGGCUCAUUUUUUUAUCUCAUGUUCUCUUCUCUUUUCCAUCAUUUCCCCCCAUCUAUUCUUUGGAAAUUCCCUCUGAGGCAAUGGUAUUGCAUGCUGGACAUAAAGAUCAGUAAGAUUGUCUUUGUUUAUUCUUAUGUCAUUUUCAACAGCUAUGUUCUUCUGCUCCAGAGUGAGGAGAAGGACCUCCUGGGACAGCAGCUCCGAGUCAGUGCAGCUGCGACCACCCACGUCCCCAGCCAUCGUCGUCGUUCAUUGAUUUUUUUGUAUCAUUCUCUUAGUCUCCAUUGCAUUGAUUUCUGCUCUGACCUUUAUAAUUUCCUCCCUUGUAUGAGCUUUGGGUUUGUCCUGCUCUUCUUUCUCUAGAAGCUUGAGGUUCACCAUUAGGUUGUUUAAAUGGGCUUGCUCUGUUUUCCUAAUAUAAGUAUUCACUUCUAUGAAUUUCCCUCAUAAGGCUGCUUUCAUUGUGUCCCAUAGAUUUCAACAUGUUGUAUUAUCAUUGUCAUUUAAUUGAAGGAACUGUCUGAUUUCUUCUUUAAUUUCCUCUGUGACUCAUUGGUUAUUCAGAAGUGUAUUGUUUGAUUUCCAUGUGUUUAUGAAUUUUCUGCAAUUUCUUUAGCUUUUUAUCCCAGUAUGGUCUGAUAAUAUACAGGGGAUAACUUCGAUUCCUUUGCACUUACUAUGAGAGAGUAUGUGGUCUAUUCUGGAGAAUGACACAUGUGCACCUGAAAAGAAUGUGUAUUCUGAUUUUGUGGGGUGGAGCACUCUGUAAGCAUCUGUUAAGUUCAUUUGUUCAAGAGUUUGAUUGAGUUCUAGUAUUUUGUGCAUAGAUAUUUAUUGAUU